rnacentral:rRNA from 1 species
AUUGAACGCUGGCGGCAUGCCUUACACGUGCAAGUCGAACGGCAGCACGGGGCAACCUGGUGGCGAGUGGCGAACGGGUGAGUAAUGCAUCGGAACGUGCCAUUGAGUGGGGGAUAACGUAGCGAAAGUUGCGCUAAUACCGCAUAUUCUGUGAGCAGGAAAGCAGGGGACCGCAAGGCCUUGCGCUCUUUGAGCGGCCGAUGUCAGAUUAGCUAGUUGGUGAGGUAACGGCUUACCAAGGCGACGAUCUGUAGCGGGUCUGAGAGGAUGAUCCGCCACACUGGAACUGAGACACGGUCCAGACUCCUACGGGAGGCAGCAGUGGGGAAUUUUGGACAAUGGGCGCAAGCCUGAUCCAGCCAUGCCGCGUGAGUGAAGAAGGCCUCGGUUGUAAAGACGUCUUUCGGUCCGGGAACGGAAA